UGCCUCUUCACCAAGGUUCAAGUCAAAACGACGGUCGGAGGGGCCAGACAUUUUCAAAGGUGUUGAAGAAAGAAGAGGUCGGACAAGUCAAGAUAUUAGAAGUGCAAGAAGGGAGUUUCUACAGGCAGAAAUUCAAGUGUGCUUUGAAACGUACUGCGUGCCUCUAUAAAAAUCAGCACACGACGGGAUUUCAGAGAUCGAAGAGGCGAGCUCAGAAAUCGAAAAGGCCAAUUCAAAGAUCGAAGAGGCACUAGCUUUCUCAAAAGCUAGGCUUGCUCCGAAACCAUGGGCUAAUCUUCUUUUUCAGAUUUAUCCGCACUUGUCACAUGCAACCUCUGCACUCGACAGAGCUCAGAACUAGAAGAGGCGAGCUCAGAACUCGAAGAGGCAAGCUCAGAAAUCGAAGAGGCAUAUACUUUUCCAGACGUGUCAGCAUCUGUCACAUGCACACUCAGCUUUGCGGAAAUCACGGGCAGUUUGUCGAAGCACCGAUUCCAGAUAUCAAAGAGGCACUUGCUUUUCCAAACGUGUCAGCACCUGUCACAUACACACUCAGCCUUGCGGAAAUUACGGGCAAUCUGUCGAAGAUUUCUUGUGAAGUAGAAGGCACGUGAAGUUUACUGUUAAAUCAUCCAACGGUUGCCGACAAGAGUGAAAGAAUAGUACCGGUUAUUAAUUUCUAUAAAUGUCAACCUUCACCUUCCAUUGCAAGGCAGACAUACAUAACCUUUCUUCAUCUCCGAGAAUGCCUUCCCAACAAAGCUUCUCGAGUCACUCAAUGUUCCUUAUUCCUUGGGGUACCUCUGCAAACAACUCAUCCAAAGCAAAAGUAUUUCAUAUCAUGAAGGUUGAAAGAAAAAGUAUCUCAUAUCAUGCUUUCUCCCUGUCCUUCUCCUUAUUGUUGUUUUCAUCUGCGAGACAAGGAGAAAGAGAGCAAUCAGCCAGCACUUGGUAUCAAUCUUCCGAUCUGGAACCAACUGCCUGGAACCCCUUCCUGAUUGCUUACCUAGCCUUGCUCUCUAGUACUCAUCUUCAACAUCUUAUGCUUCCUCUUCGUCUACCACAUCUGCCUGGGGAACCAAUAAGGGAAGUGAAAAUGAUACCUCGAAGCAUGUGGAGUUAAUUCAUCCUCAGCUAGGGACAAGGACAAAGAAAGCAAAUGGUCGGCACUUGGAAAGAUUGAAGAAAGAAACAGACCAUCACCUCUACCUCUUGCCUGCUUGCCGUGCAGAAGAAACAAACAGAGAAGAAUGCAGACUGCAUAAUCAAAUCAACCCAGCAGAAGGAGUCUGAUUUGAAACCAAGGAACUCUGAUAUUCCUCGCUCAGAAUUCCAAA
rnacentral:lncRNA from 1 species